GCACAUCUUCAUUCUCCCAGACCAGCACUUUUCAGAGUAGCUUUUUGUUUCCAUUCCAUCUUCUUCUAUUCCCCAAUCACUUUUUGAAAUAAUAUUUAUUGUUAUUAAACUUGCCCCAUCAUCUUUUUUAUUUUUCCUCUGGGUUCUGGGAGAGUUUCCUAACCUUAUCUUCCCCUUCCUUGAUUUACAUUUCUGUGGCAUCCAGUGCCUCCGUUGGGGUUUGUAAUUUGGCAAUCACAUUUUUCAUCUCUGGGCUGCCUCUCCUGCUUUCAGAUAUCUCCUCCUCAAAUUUGCUUCAACUGUUUUCCCAGCAGCCAUUUCCCCUUGGAUCUUACUGAGAACACAAAUCAGAUUCUUUUUUUUUGCACUGAGUUGAUUUCACAGUUUAUUUUGCAUAUUUGCUUGAUUCCUCUGACGGGUUCCCUUCUUCAGAAGCUUGGAGUUCCUCUGGGUCUCAUGCAUUCUGUCUGAGUCAAGCCUUUCAGAGAGAGGGGAGAGUUGGGAGCCGAGGUCAGACUGGGUCCGGCUGCUCCGGCAGAGUAGAUGGUGGAGGUUGGGGGAAAAAAGCAGGAAAGAAGGCAGCACCCUAGGCUCCAGGUUAGAAGACUUCACCCACAUGCCAGAGACACCUUCUCACAUCUACAGUGACAGAGAUGUUCUGCCUGAGGCAACUGUGCUCUGAGAAAGCAGCUCCGUGUUCCCCGUCUCUGCCUGGACCAUAGUCCAUUCCAAGAGCUGGAGCUGGAAACGACUGCACCCCAAAGAUACUAAAGAGCUGGUGAACUUGGUGCUCCUCUCCCUCCCUUCUCUGCCCCACCAUCCCCACCCACUCUCCAGCCCUCACCCUUGGGUUUGGUGGGUCCUGGUGGGGCGAGGGGGUUCUAAGCCUCUUCCACUUCCCAGGCUGGUCGAUGCUUCACCAUUUCCCAUGAGCACCUGCUUUCUUCUCCCAUAUACUCUGAAUGAUUCAUAGAGUCUUCCUGCCGAUUCCAACCACAGAAGUACUUUCUGUCUAAAGCAUUAAGCCUGAAAAUCCAUAACUCACAGGGUCCUCAGAACAAUUGGGAAAAUAAGAGACACUGAAAGUGAUACCUGGAGCUGGAAGUGGCCACAACAAGACUUGGAGAGCAGCAUCUUUCUCCUUGAUGAGCAGAAACACAGGUGAGGGUUGCAUACCUAUUUUCAUCCUUAUAUCGGAUCUAGUCUCUAAGAUGUAGGGAAGGUCUUGCUCCUGCAAAGUAAUGACUGUCUCAUUGGCAACUGCACUGUGGGCUUGAAAUAGAAAGGGAGCCAUAUUCCUCUCUAUUACAUCUUCAACCGAAUAGGCUCUGCUUGUCCUGGGUAAACAAUCAUCACCCCUUCUAAAUCUGCACUCACACCCUGUAUUAGAGACUAAGGAGAAGGACAGUCCGUUAGAUAUAGGUAGGUGUGUUAAGUUUUCAAGUCUGUGCUAAUAUUUUAUGAGCAGGAUCCUCCGUGCUCUGGCUCUAUACAUAGGCGGAGGAGGAGGGCACUGGCUGAGUGGUAGGAUGAGAACACUGCUUACAUUUAUCGCCCAAGCCCAUACGCCCACGCCCAACUGUCACAGAGCCUGAAAUUCCUACCAUUAGAGUUGCUACUUUUGGUUGAGGCAGAGGGCUUCAAGAAAACCCUUGUUCAAGUACAAAUAUACCAGGCAGGAAUUGUUCCACCACACUCAGCUGCAAGCAGCAUCUCAUUUCUUUAUUUUUCUAUUGCAAAUAAAACAGGGUUGGAUGGCUUUUAAAGAAUAGAC
rnacentral:lncRNA from 1 species